rnacentral:rRNA from 1 species
GACGAACGCUGGCGGCGUGCUUAACACAUGCAAGUCGAACGGAAAGGCCCUGCUUUUGUGGGGUGCUCGAGUGGCGAACGGGUGAGUAACACGUGAGUAACCUGCCCUUGACUUUGGGAUAACUUCAGGAAACUGGGGCUAAUACCGGAUAGGAGCUCCUGCUGCAUGGUGGGGGUUGGAAAGUUUCGUCGGUUGGGGAUGGACUCGCGGCUUAUCAGCUUGUUGGUGGGGUAGUGGCUUACCAAGGCUUUGACGGGUAGCCGGCCUGAGAGGGUGACCGGCCACAUUGGGACUGAGAUACGGCCCAGACUCCUACGGGAGGCAGCAGUGGGGAAUAUUGCACAAUGGGCGGAAGCCUGAUGCAGCAACGCCGCGUGCGGGAUGACGGCCUUCGGGUUGUAAACCGCUUUCGCCUGUGACGAAGCGUGAGUGACGGUAAUGGGUAAAGAAGCACCGGCUAACUACGU